GAUGAAGAACGCAGCGAAAUGAGAUACGUAAUGUGAAUUGCAGAAUUCAGUGAAUCAUCGAAUCUUUGAACGCAUAUUGCGCUCUUUGGUAUUCCGAAGAGCAUGCUUGUUUGAGUAUCAGUAAACACCUCAACCUCUUCUUGAUUUUUCAAAAGGAGGGUGGACUUGAGCUAUCCCAACAACCUUUACCGGUCGGCGGGCGGCUUGAAAUGCAGGUGCAGCUGGACUUUUAUCUGAGCUAAAAGCAUAUCUAUUUAGUCCUCGUCAAACAGGAUUAUUACUUUUGCUGCAGCUAACAUAAAGGAUAAUUGUCCUCUUUGCUGACUGAUGCAGGAUUUUACGACACUUUAUGUGUUGUUCAACUCGAUCUCAAAUCAAGUAAGACUACCCGCUGAACUUAAGCAUAUCAAUAAGCGGAGGA
rnacentral:misc_RNA from 1 species